GGAUAAGAGUAUGAUCGGAGACUUGGAUUCACUUCCUGAAGCAGAUAAGAUCAGAAUGGCAGCCAUGAUUGAGCAGCUCCAAGUUCGUGACAGCUUGAGAAUGUAUAAUUCUCUGGUCGAAAGAUGUUUCACGGACUGUGUAGACAGUUUCAAACGCAAAACUUUAGACAAACAAGAGGAGACCUGUGUCCGACGAUGUGCUGAGAAGUUCUUGAAGCAUUCUAUGCGUGUAGGACUGAGAUUUGCAGAGCUUAACCAAGGUGCACCAACACCAGACUAAGACGCUUCUGUUAUGUGCCUGCAAUUCAAUUUCUCAUUAUUGUUUAUUGUGGGUUAAUCAACAAGGACAAGUAGUGGAAGUUCCUUAUUUUGGAAAGUCAACAGCUCUCCUCGUUGUUAUUGGUAAAAUGUACUUCUACAGUUAAAUUAUUAGAAACUUGAAUAGUAGAACUGGAUCCUGUAACUGAUUGCAGGCCACUUGCUGUUACGAUAGCAUUCUUUUGUUGUGACGUUCUAGUAAAAUAAUGUGGUAUUCAACUUCAUCAAGGAGAUAUAUCUGUUGCCUUUUCUGUUAUGAUAACAAUUUUUGAA
rnacentral:misc_RNA from 1 species